GAUGAAGAACGUAGCGAAAUGCGAUACGUAAUGUGAAUUGCAGAAUUCAGUGAAUCAUCGAAUCUUUGAACGCAUAUUGCGCUCUCUGGUAUUCCGGAGAGCAUGCUUGUUUGAGUAUCAGUAAACACCUCAACUUCCAUAUCUUUUUUGAAAUGGGAGUUGGACUUGAGUGAUCCCAACGCUUUUCCUCACCGAAAAGUGGCGGGUUACUUGAAAUGCAGGUGCAGCUGGACUUUUCUCUGAGCUAUAAGCAUAUCUAUUUAGUCUGCCUAAAAAACAGAUUAUUACCUUUGCUGCAGCUAACAUAAAGGAGAUUAGUUCUUGUGCUGACUGAUGCAGGAUUCACAAAGACAGGUUUCGGCCGACUUUGUAAACUCGAUCUCAAAUCAAGUAAGACUACCCGCUGAACUUAAGCAUAUCAAUAAGCGGAGGA
rnacentral:misc_RNA from 1 species